CACGGGGGGAGCAAGCGUUGUUCGGAUUUACUGGGCGUAAAGGGCGCGUAGGCGGCCAGCACAAGUCAGUUGUGAAAUCUCCGAGCUUAACUCGGAACGGUCAACUGAUACUGUGCGGCUAGAGUGCGGAAGGGGCAACUGGAAUUCUUGGUGUAGCGGUGAAAUGCGUAGAUAUCAAGAGGAACACCUGCGGCGAAGGCGGGUUGCUGGGCCGACACUGACGCUGAGGCGCGAAAGCCAGGGGAGCGAACGGG
rnacentral:rRNA from 1 species